GUCGAGCGGAAAGGCCACUUCGGUGGUACUCGAGCGGCGAACGGGUGAGUAACACGUGAGUAAUCUGCCCCUGGCUUCGGGAUAGCCACCGGAAACGGUGAUUAAUACCGGAUAUGACAGACCCUCGCAUGGGGGUGUGUGGAAAGUUUUUCGGCCAGGGAUGUGCUCGCGGCCUAUCAGCUUGAUGGUGAGGUAAUGGCUCACCAUGGCUUCGACGGGUAGCCGGCCUGAGAGGGUGACCGGCCACACUGGGACUGAGACACGGCCCAGACUCCUACGGGAGGCAGCAGUGGGGAAUAUUGGACAAUGGGCGGAAGCCUGAUCCAGCAACGCCGCGUGAGGGAUGACGGCCUUCGGGUUGUAAACCUCUUUCAGUACCGACGAAGCGCAAGUGACGGUAGGUACAGAAGAAGCACCGGCCAACUACGUGCCAGCAGCCGCGGUAAUACGUAGGGUGCGAGCGUUGUCCGGAAUUAUUGGGCGUAAAGGGCUCGUAGGCGGUUUGUCGCGUCGGGAGUGAAAACACGGGGCUUAACUCCGUGCUUGCUUUCGAUACGGGCAGACUAGAGGUAUGCAGGGGAGAACGGAAUUCCUGGUGUAGCGGUGAAAUGCGCAGAUAUCAGGAGGAACACCGGUGGCGAAGGCGGUUCUCUGGGCAUGACCUGA
rnacentral:rRNA from 1 species